GGCAGUCUGGAGAUCAGCCCCUUCUGAAGUUAUAGAAUGGACUUAGUUUGGAAGAAAUGCUUCUCUGGGCAAGAUGGGAGAUGGCCUCUUCUCCCAGGUAACGGCAAUAGGAUGAGGUGGAAUGGCCUCAAGUUGUGCCAGGAGAGGUUCAGGUCGAAUAUCAUGAAGAAUUUCUUCUCCGAAAGAGCGGUGCUGCAGUGGCACAGGCUGCACAGGGAGGUGGUGCAGUCACCGUCCCUGGAGGUGUUCCAGAGCCGUGUGGAUGUGGCACUGAGGACGUGGUCAGUGGGCACGGUGGGGAUGGGCUGGCGGUUGGACUGGGUGAUCUUAGAGGCCUUUUCCAGCCUUAAUGAUUCCAUGAUUCUAUGAUUCUAUGAUUCUGUAAGCCUUGGCAUGAGCGCUGGAGCAGCUCUCUUCAAGGGGAAAGUCUGGGGCCAAGGACGGCUGCAGGUGGAGACACCGGGAUGAAGCAUAGGGACACCAUGAUACAUCCUGCAGGCUGAGGUGGGAACGUUCCUUUUCUCCUGGCCUUAAGUUUCCCUCCCCUCCAUGCAUAUCUAAGCUGGUGAGGCAAAAAAAUGCCCUGCUCCCCCCUCCGUCCUUGCAGAAAUAGAGUCGGACUUGGAAUUCCCCUCUGUCUCAUGGCUGGGGACACAGGGUCUCGCUGGUGAUCUCAGCCCGGCAGAAACCUUUCUGUGCUGAGAGCAGGCAGCAGCGGAGCAGGAGGCUGGGAAGGAGGAGGGGAGCCAUGGCAGGAAACCAAGAACACAUCAGACACUCUAAAUUUAGAUCUUUUUAUUCAGCUCGGACAAUAUUCCUUGAUUUCUCAUUGUUCGGCGGAGGGCAGAGGGCAGGGGAUCUAUUGAAAGGCUUUGUCCUGAGAGAUGCCACUUUGUCUGGGCACAGGGGGGCGGAGGAGCCGCAGAUUGGGGCGGAUGGGGGCUCCCAUCCCACCGCUCCAGUGAUGCUCGGGCACCUGUGCAGUCCCACUACCCUCAGGGUACCCCCCGUGCC
ensembl:lncRNA